UAAACGGUGGGUACUAGGUGUGGGGGACAUUCCACGUUCUCUGUGCCGUAGCUAACGCAUUAAGUACCCCGCCUGGGGAGUACGGCCGCAAGGCUAAAACUCAAAGGAAUUGACGGGGCCCCGCACAAGCGGCGGAGCAUGCGGAUUAAUUCGAUGCAACGCGAAGAACCUUACCUGGGUUUGACAUAUAUCGGAAACGUUCAGAGAUGGGCGCCCCGUAAGGUCGGUAUACAGGUGGUGCAUGGCUGUCGUCAGCUCGUGUCGUGAGAUGUUGGGUUAAGUCCCGCAACGAGCGCAACCCUCGUCCAAUGUUGCCAGCGGGUUAUGCCGGGGACUCAUUGGAGACCGCCGGGGUCAACUCGGAGGAAGGUGGGGAUGACGUCAAGUCAUCAUGCCCCUUAUGUCCAGGGCCUCACGCAUGCUACAAUGGCCGGUACAAAGAGUUGCGAGCCUGUGAGGGUGAGCGAAUCUCAAAAAGCCGGUCUCAGUUCGGAUUGGGGUCUGCAACUCGACCCCAUGAAGUCGGAGUCGCUAGUAAUCGCAGAUCAGCAACGCUGCGGUGAAUACGUUCCCGGGGCUUGUACACACCGCCCGUCAAGUCAUGAAAGUCGGUAACACCCGAAGCCGGUGNNNNNNNCCGUUUGGGGGGGAGCUGUCGAAGGUGGGACUGGUAAUUAAAAGGAAGUCGUAACAAGGUAGCC
rnacentral:rRNA from 1 species